AGGAGACAGACAUGAUGACGUCAGCGACGCCUGGCUCCAGACGCUCGUGUCCGCGCAACCGUGAACGAGCCCGAGAGGAAGGAAACUCGCACGCUUGCAAACGGGGUCACGAACUAUGACCUUUCACUGGAGUAAAACAAUAACAAAUAAUGUGCAAUAAACCGGAGAACGAAACACCUGCGCUCGUCCGUAUCACAGGUGGAGGUGUUGCUGGCAGAUGAAGAGCUGGCCUUUGUCCAAUCAGACACUUCUAAUGACUUCACUUCACCAUGACAACCAAUGUGGAGGUGCUGGCUCAGCAGAUAUUGACCGCUGAGCAGGUUUCAGAGUGUCCGUGAUCCCGCUGCAAGCACGUUUGUUACUAAGUAAGAUGGAUGCGUGUGCAGUUGGAAGAGCAAGAUCCGAUGAAUUUUGUGU